CUGAUAAAUGAUGACUGCAUAGUUCAGCAGAUUGCCAGUGACGAACAUGAAUUUUGUCUUUCGCUCCUAACUGAUGUAUCUA